UCUGGCACCACAACGUCCUCCGCCUCCGGUACAGUUAAAAUUUUGGUUAAAUGCUUAUACUAGUGAUCGACUACAUCGUCAAGCAUGAUCCAUUUGCUAAAUAAUUCAGGAUGCACAACUUAGUGUUGCUACUUUAGUUGUAGUACUGUACCAUACCUUGAAUGCAGAAAUCAGUACUGUUGUUUUUAGUGCUUCAUCUGCUGCAAAAAAAUUUGAGGCCAAUUCGCUCUGGUCACCUAUCAUAGUUCCUCAUAAUUUGGCACUGAUCACACAAAUCAUCUGUAAGAACUUUUCUGAAACUUGAUUUGGUGCUAGUACUAUUUACUCUUACACUCUCAAAUUAGGUCACUCUUUCAGAUAUAGGAUCCUAGCCAACCUUUAAGUUUCGGAAAAUAAAUCCAGUCAAUACUCAGUAAGCAUCAAUAUUUCUUUUUUUUAGGAGAAAAAAGAGGCUGGAGAUGAUGUUUCAUCACCUUCAGCUGGUAGUGCUGUUGUAGAAGAAGCAAAUGGAAUUGCAGGGGCUAGAUCCCAUGCAAACAAUGUGGACAAUUGGACAUGAACUCAACAGUAAGUGCAGGAGCCAGAAUUGGAUGUGGAGGGCCAUUUUCUUCUUCCAGAGGAGCACAGUUGAGGUCUGGCAGGACCAUUUCUUCUGACAAAUUAAUGUUGGGGCACCGGAGAACUGUUGGGGCCGAGGACAAGCUGCUACUGAUGGGCCAGAGGAGAAGCUGCUCCUGCUGAUGGGCAGGAGAGAAGUUGCUGCUGAUGGGCAGUGGAGAAAUUGCUGCUGGUGUGGCGAGGAGAAGCCGGUGAGUCUGGAGUACCAUAUUAAUGCGGUGGGUCACCAGUGUUGCAGGACCGGAGGAGAAACGGAGAAUCACAGCAAGGCUACCGCCACCGCCACCGGCGCCACCGCCCGUUCCCCGCUGCCGUCGAGGGCCCAUGCCCUCACCCCCGCCUCCACCGUUCCC